CUUAAAAAUCACUGGUUUUUUUACCAAAUGGAUUUUAUAAAUAAGUUGAACCAAAAGUUUGAAUUUUGUAACAAGUUGCUUUCAUUUAAUAAUCAAACAUACACACCCGUAGCUAUCGCCAUGCCAUCUCCCCGCCUCUUUACUUUUCACUUUACAAUCUUUUUUAUUUUCUCUUCUAGCUCUUUUUUUUUCCAGCCAAGAGAGAUCACAUUAGUAAGGAAAAUCCUAUCCAAACAGCAUCCACAUCAAAAUAGGCUCAAAACAUGCAUUGGCCUAUCAAAACAUCAUACACAAUGUCUCAAUAGACAUAAACCAAUUCAUGACAGAGAACCUAAAAUACUAAUUGAUCUUUGGUUCCUACCCUUAUACUGUAAGUAUAUCCUCUUCUGA